rnacentral:rRNA from 1 species
CGGAAUCUGGGAGGACCAUCUCCCAAGGCUAAAUACUCUCUAGUGACCGAUAGUGAACCAGUACCGUGAGGGAAAGGUGAAAAGCACCCCGGAAGGGGAGUGAAAGAGAUCCUGAAACCAUGUGCCUACAAGUAGUUAGAGCCCGUUAAUGGGUGAUAGCGUGCCUUUUGUAGAAUGAACCGGCGAGUUACGAUCCCAUGCAAGGUUAAGCUGAUAAGGCGGAGCCGUAGCGAAAGCGAGUCUGAAUAGGGCGAAUGAGUAUGUGGUUGUAGACCCGAAACCAGGUGAUCUACCCAUGUCCAGGGUGAAGGUAAGGUAACACUUACUGGAGGCCCGAACCCACGUACGUUGAAAAGUGCGGGGAUGAGGUGUGGGUAGCGGAGAAAUUCCAAUCGAACCUGGAAAUAGCUGGUUCUCUCCGAAAUAGCUUUAGGGCUAGCCUCGCGGCUAAGAAUCUUGGAGGUAGAGCACUGUUUGGACUAGGGGUCCAUCCCGGAUUACCGAAUUCAGACAAACUCCGAAUGCCAAUGAUUUAUACGCGGGAGUCAGACUGCGAGUGAUAAGAUCCGUAGUCAAAAGGGAAACAGCCCAGACCACCAGCUAAGGUCCCAAAGUAAUCGUUAAGUGGAAAAGGAUGUGACGUUGCUUAGACAACCAGGAUGUUGGCUCAGAAGCAGCCAUCAUUUAAAGAGUGCGUAAUAGCUCACUGGUCGAGUGACGCUGCGCCGAAAAUGUAUCGGGGCUAAACGAUUCACCGAAGCUGUGGAUGGACAUCUCAGAUGUCCGUGGUAGGAGAGCGUUCUAAUCGCUGUGAAGUCAGAUCGUAAGGACUGGUGGAGCGUUUAGAAGUGAGAAUGCCGGUAUGAGUAGCGAAAGAUGGGUGAGAAUCCCAUCCACCGAAUGACUAAGGUUUCCUGAGGAAGGCUCGUCCGCUCAGGGUUAGUCGGGACCUAAGCCGAGGCCGAUAGGCGUAGGCGAUGGAUAACAGGUUGAUAUUCCUGUACCACCUCCUCACCAUUUGAGUAAUGGGGGGACGCAGUAGGAUAGGGUAAGCGCGCUGUUGGUUAUGCGCGUCCAAGCAGUAAGGUGUGAGUGUAGGCAAAUCCGCACUCUCUAACAUUGAGCUGUGAUAGCGAAGCUCUUCGAGCGAAGUUCCUGAUUUCACACUGCCAAGAAAAGCCUCUAGCGAGGUGAGAGGUGCCCGUAC